rnacentral:rRNA from 1 species
CUACCAUGCAGUCGACGGACCCUUCGGUGGUUAGUGGCGCACGNUUUGAGUAACACGUGGUUGACCUACCCCAAAGUAAGGGAUAACGGUCCGAAAGGACUGCUAAUACCUUAUAAGCUCCCGGUGUUUAGAAAACUGGGAGAAAAGUUCCGGCGCUUUGGGCGGGGACUGCGGACCAUCAGCUAGUUGGUGUGGUAACGGCACACCAAGGCGACGACGGAUAGGGGACCUGAGAGGGUGGCCCCCCACACUGGAACUGAGACACGGUCCAGACUCCUACGGGAGGCAGCAGUGAGGAAUAUUGCACAAUGGGCGCAAGCCUGAUGCAGCGACGCCGCGUGGGUGAUGAAGGUUUUCGGAUCGUAAAGCCCUUUUCUAGAUGACGAGUAAGGACGGUAGUCUAGGAAUAAGUGUCGGCUAACUACGUGCCAGCAGCCGCGGUAAAACGUAGGACACAAGCGUUAUCCGGAGUUACUGGGCGUAAGGGGCGUGUANGCGGACCUGUAAGUCUAUUCUGAAAGCUCCUGGCUNAACUGGGAAAGGCGAAUGGAGACUGCANAUCUAGAGUGAGGAAGANGAAAGUGGAAUUCCNCGUGUAGUGGUGAAUGCGUGNAAAUGCGGAGGAACACCAGUGGCGAAGCGACUUUCUGGUCCUUAACUGACCUGAAGCGCGAANCAUGGGGNACGAACGGGAUAAAACCCNGUUAUCNUGCCAUAACAAUGUCCUAANNUCGUUCCCNCAGGGANCGGNNUNAACCACCAUANUAACCCCGGGGNUCGUCCAGNUAACUCAAGAUUGNGGGACCCACCCCGACGNGUUUUCANUCCAAANCUUCUGUUUNUCGUAAUCCNAAUGGUNCCCAAGAACANGGNCUGUUCCCNCGNGGGUUUUANCNAAGCNCUGGCUAAUUGGCCNNGANGAGGNACNNUNUUCGCCCCUNGNAGGNCUGAGGCGCGAAAGCAUGGGGAGCGAACGGGAUUAGAAACCCCGGUAGUCCAUGCCAUAAACGAUGUUCACUAAACGUUCGUUUCCCGCGAGGGAAGCGGGUGUUGAAGCCAACGCAGUAAGUGAACCGCCUGGGGAGUACGGUCGCAAGGCUAAAACUCAAAGGAAUUGACGGGGGACCGCACAAGCAGCGGAGCGUGUGGUUUAAUUCGAGGCUACACGAAGAACCUUACCUGGGUUUGACAUCGUGUUGAAGUGCCCAUGAAAGUGGGUAUGCCUCGCAAGAGGCAAUACGACAGGUGCUGCAUGGCUGUCGUCAGCUCGUGCCGUGAGGUGUUCGGUUAAGUCCGCAAACGAGCGCAACCCUCGGUGCCAGUUACAAGCGUCUGGCGCGACUGCCCGUGGCAACGGANGAANGUGGGGAUGACGUCAAGUCACAUGGCNUUUUNUCCG